UACAGAGGGGGCAAGCGUUGUCCGGAAUUAUUGGGCGUAAAGAGCUCGUAGGCGGUCUGUUGCGUCGGCUGUGAAACCCGGGGCUCAACUCCGGGCCUGCAGCCGAUACGGGCAGACUAGAGGUAUGCAGGGGAGAACGGAAUUCCUGGUGUAGCGGUGAAAUGCGCAGAUAUCAGGAGGAACACCGGUGGCCGAAAGCGCUCUGCUAGGCCGCAACUGACACUGAGGGACGAAAGCUAGGGGAGCGAAUGGG
rnacentral:rRNA from 1 species